CAGUAGCCGCGGUAAUACGAAGGGUGCAAGCGUUAAUCGGAAUUACUGGGCGUAAAGCGUGCGUAGGCGGUUUGUUAAGUCUGCUGUGAAAUCCCCGGGCUCAACCUGGGAAUGGCAGUGGAUACUGGCAAGCUAGAGUGUGUCAGAGGAUGGUGGAAUUCCCGGUGUAGCGGUGAAAUGCGUAGAGAUCGGGAGGAACAUCAGUGGCGAAGGCGACUAUCUGGGCCAACACUGACACUGAGGCACGAAAGCGUGGGGAGCAAACAGGAUUAGAUACCCGCGUAGUCCCUGUCUCUUAUAC
rnacentral:rRNA from 1 species